UAUCUCAUACUUCUGAUUUUAUGUGAACUGGUAUUCAACUUCACCAACAAAUAUGAGGUGCUCGUCAUAUUGUCACAAAGCUAGUAGUCAUGGAAUUGCAUAUGGGAAAUGAAGCAGGUCAUGGAGAUGCAUAUUUUUAAUUUUAGUGUUUACCAAAGAAGAAUAGAUACUUAGAUAUCAUAAUUUUGUUGUGUUUGUUAUUAAGUUUGAACCAUUAGCAAACUUAGUAUUUUGAUACUUAAGUAGUCAUGCAUAUAGAUUGUUAUACUGAAUUUUUGCACUAUGUAUGUAAAGCUACCGGAGCUCAUUUGUANNNNNNNNNNNNNNUGAAUCGUUAUUUUAUUUUGAAUGCAUGUUAUUUUUCUAUAUUUUGGUCAAUAUUAUUUUUCCAUUGAUGAUCAAUAAUUAGGAGUAAAGAAAAAAAAUUGGUGUAAAAAAAAACAUUUAAAA
rnacentral:lncRNA from 1 species